rnacentral:rRNA from 1 species
GCCGGCAGCGGGUGGAGCAUGUGGUUUAAUUCGAAGCUACGCGCAGAACCUUACCAGCGUUUGACAUGCCGGUCGCGGGUUCCAGAGAUGGAUCCCUUCAGUUCGGCUGGACCGUGCACAGGUGCUGCAUGGCUGUCGUCAGCUCGUGUCGUGAGAUGUUGGGUUAAGUCCCGCAACGAGCGCAACCCUCGCCUUUAGUUGCCAGCAUUCAGUUGGGUACUCUAAAGGAACCGCCGGUGAUAAGCCGGAGGAAGGUGGGGAUGACGUCAAGUCCUCAUGGCCCUUACGCGCUGGGCUACACACGUGCUACAAUGGCAGGUACAGUGGGCAGCAAUCCCGCGAGGGUGAGCUAAUCUCCAAAACCUGUCUCAGUUCGGAUUGUUCUCUGCAACUCGAGAGCAUGAAGGCGGAAUCGCUAGUAAUCGCGGAUCAGCAUGCCGCGGUGAAUACGUUCCCAGGCCUUGUACACACCGCCCGUAAAAA